rnacentral:lncRNA from 1 species
GCAAAACAUCCUUUCUUUUAAUAAGAUAUAUAUUUUAAAACCACUCUGGAUGUUUCUACCCACAGACAAACCACGCUAGGGUUUCAUUUGAUCCCCUUUUCACCUUCAAAAUACCCAAAAAAAAUCUCAAUUAAGCUACAAAUUUGACAUCAUUUUCAACGAUUAGAUUGUAAUGGCGGAGCAUCUGAGUUGAAAAACUGCACCGAUGAUUACGUCACCGGAGUGAGUCCGUGAAGGUUCACACGUGUCAGAGAUGACGAACGGCUGUAAACCGGAGACGAGUAGAAACUCGAACUCGUUGAUGUCGCAAAUGGCGGUGAAAUGACGUCAGCAAUGAACGCCGAUGAGUAGCUUCCUAUACGUCCGUACGAAGAACUUAACCGGUUAAACGCCGAUGUCUACGGCAUCACAGAAACGGUUGGCGGUUGAGGACAAUCGCCGGAGAAAAGUUUUCAGGGAUAUGAUGAACGAAGAUGUACUAAAUCCAAAAAAAACAGUGUUGAUGAACUCGUGAUGGUGAAGAUUUCCGGUAAAUAUUCCGUGUAGAUUUGUUGCAGAUGGCCUGUUAAUCCCAGUGCAGAGGCAAAGUUGCUGAUAACGUGAUAUAAACCAAAUGGAAUUAUCUAUUAGAUUGCAAGUGAUUGUAUUGAAUCUUCUGGAAAAAUCAAUCACCAAAUAAUAAUAUACAAGAGUAUUAUAUAAUACAAGCAGUUACAAGGUGUUAAUACAAGCGGUUACAAGGUGUUAACUGCCAAGGCAGUUACAAGGGGAAAACGUAUAUCUGGUUUUAUAACAUCUACAUGUUUUUAGAUUUAAUAACUUUGUUAUACAUCUGUAAAAAAGUUGGUUUAUUUUUAUACAACAUUUGCUAUAUUUUUUUGCUUCUUUGUUAUUUCAUUAUUGGUUGUUC